CACUUAUUCGGCUUCUUCGCUUUUCUCUCACCACCUAUCUCUCACAAGUUAAUCACUCUUCAUGUUUAGUCGAUUUUUCUCAAUCAUAAUUUUUGGUUGGCGUUGAAAAGGGUUUUGAAUUAACGGCUUAAACAACUUCUAAGGAUACGAGAACCACCUGUGGGGGGCGAUAUGUUUCUUGCAUCAUUUAAUCUAAGCAUGUGCAGAGGUAGUGAUGUGUGAUCUUGGACUAAGUUCAGAACUGAAGUUUGCAUGUAAUUCUACACUAAUAAAAGUUGCAGGGUGGUAAAAACUCCAAGAGGGAGCAAGGUGAAACAUUAACUCGCAAAAAAAGCUGGGCUCAUCAAGGUUGACAAUAUACUCUACUUAUAGCCACGUAGCUUUAGAACUAUGGUUUCAUCCCACGUAUUUUCUGUGAGGAUGCCGAUCCUCUGGAUAUGCCUAUAACAUGCAGGAUACUUGGUGCAUCCGCCGAAGUUUCUCCAAAGCCUAAAGUCUCUCUAAAUGAAAAGUAAUAUAUCAGUAAUAGACUAAGUGUGGAGCUAGGAAUAUGCGAACUGCUUCCAAGGAAGCAAAUCAAGAGCAUCACCAACCAUUAUCUUUA